UACGAAGGGGGCGAGCGUUGUUCGGAUUUACUGGGCGUAAAGGGCGCGCAGGCGGUUCUGUUUGUCGAGUGUGAAAGCCCCGGGCUCAACCUGGGAACUGCGCUCGAAACGGCAGAACUAGAGUUCGGGAGAGGAGAGUGGAAUUCCCAGUGUAGAGGUGAAAUUCGUAGAUAUUGGGAAGAACACCGGUGGCGAAGGCGGCCCUCUGGACGGUGACUGACGCUAAGACGCGAAAGCGUGGGGAGCGAAACAGG
rnacentral:rRNA from 1 species